AUGGCCUGGACUCCUCUCCUCCUCCUGCUCCUCUCUCACUGCACAGGGUCCUGGGCUCAGUCUGUGCUGAUGCAGCCGCCCUCAGUGUCUGGGGCUCCAGGGCAGAGGGUCACCAUCUCCUGCACUGGGAGCAGCUCCAACAUUGGGAGUUAUGAUGUAUACUGGUACCAGCAGCUCCCAGGAACAGCCCCUAAACUCCUCAUCUAUGACAAUAAUAAGCGACCCUCAGGGGUUUCUGACCGAUUCUCUGGCUCCAAGUCUGGUACCUCAGCCUCCUUGGCCAUCACUGGACUCCAGGCUGAGGAUGAGGCUGAUUAUUACUGUGAAGCAUGGGAUAGCAGCCUGAGUGCUCACACGGUGCUCCAGGCUCAGGGGGAAGCAGUGGUCCUGAUUGAAGAGGAAGUGUUUGUGGCCUGGAGAUGGCGUUCUCUAAUUUAUCAAAUGAAAGAUGGAUCAAAAGAACCAAUAGUGGACAUGAGAACAGAGGAUGAAAGAAUUACUAAUCACGAAGAUGGGAGCCCAGAAGAAAAUGGGAAAGAAGCUCUAAAUCCAGAAGCUAUAGAAAUUAAAGUUUCUAACGACAUCAUUCAAUCAAAAGAAGACGACAGCAAAGCAUAA